rnacentral:lncRNA from 1 species
UAUAAAAAGACAGAAAGAGUCCGGGCAUGGUGGUAAUCCCAGCACUCUGGGAGGCCAAGGCGGGCAGAUUACCUGAUGCCAGGAGUUUGAGACCAACCUGGCCAACAUGGUGAAACCCCGUCCCUACUAAAAAUUACAAAAAUUAGCCAGGCGUGGUGGUGCGUGCCUGUAAUCCCAGUUACUCAGGAGGCUGAGGCAGGAGAGUCGCUUGAACCACAGAGGCAGAGGUUGCAGUGAGCCGAGAUCGUGCCACUGCACUCCAGCCUGCACAAUGCAGUGGGACAUCAUCAAAAAAAAAGAAAAAGAUUAACCUCUGGUUGUAAAUAUAUUAUGCAUUUGACAUUUAAAUUUUUAGUUUUGAGAGGCUGUCAUAUCUUCAAACCUGAGUCCUGCUAUUAAGAGUAUCAUUACCCUGAGAUUAAAUAAAGCUUAAGGAGGCCAAAGAGAAAAGAAAGAAAGCUGAAUUAGUUAGUAGCAGAGAGAAGGAAAAGGGAAAAAGCAGAGUGGGGAAAAGGCACAUCUGUUUCAGUGUAUAAGAAUGAAUGGACUGUCCACAUUAAGAAUUUUAUUCUCAUCUUAUUUUUGGACUUAGUUAUGAAGAGGUGUGGCUGUAGGAAAUGUAGGAAUGCAAAUUAAGAAAGUACUUUUUUAAAAUCUGCAUUUAAAAAUUGCAGCUGGGCAUGGUGGCUCACACCUGUAAUCCCAGCACUUUCGGAGGCCACGGUGGGUGAUCACCUGAGGUCAGGAGUUCGAGACUAGCCUGGCCAACAUGGCAAAACCCCAUCUCUACUAAAAAUACAAAAAUUAGCUGGGCAUGGUAGCGCAUGCCUAUAAUCCCAGCUACUUAGGAGGCUGAGGUGGAAGAAUCGCUUGAACCUGAGAGGCAGAGUGAGCUGAGAUUGCGCCACUGCACUCUAGCCUGGGCAACAGAGUGAGAUUCCAUCUCUUUCUCUCUCUCUCUCUCUCUCUCUGUCUCUCUCUAUAUAUAUAUAUGUAUGUGUGUGUGUAUAUAUAUAUAUAUAUGUUCUUUCUACUCUUUUUUUGACUGUCUCUGUAAUUUUUUCUUUGAUCUUAACUGUGCCUUAUUUUACAGAUGACGGAAAGGUAUAUAAAAAUAUAUUGCUUGAUAAUAUAAAAUCAUUUCCUGGUGGGAAGUGCAAUGUCUCUAAAAUUGGUACUAUCCUGGAAAACAUGGGUUAUGAGCUGGAAGAUGAGGAAAUUGAAUACCUGCAGAACCACCUGCCAACUACUGGUGAGCAUGUCAUUGUAUCUUCAAGGAAACUCUGAGAUCCUGUAAUAAAAUUUCAAAAUGUAUUCAUCUAAAAAAAAUCUAUUAUCUCAGACUUUUUGCUUGGUAGAUCUUCCUGCAUCCCUUUAUUUUGAGCUUAUGUGUGUCUCUGCAUGUGAGAUGGGUCUCCUGAAUACAGCACACUGAUGGGUCUUGACUCUUUAUCCAAUUUGCCAGUCUGUGUCUUUUAAUUGGGGUAUUUAGCCCGUUUACAUUUAAGAUUGAUAUUGUUAUGUGUGAAUUUGAUCCUGUCAUUAUGAUGUUAGCUGGUUAUUUUGCCCAUUAAUUGAUGCAGUUUCUUCAUAGCAUCGAUGGUCUUUACAAUUUGGCACGUUUUUACAGUGGCUGGUACUGGUUGUUCCUUUCCAGCAUGUUGUUUUGAUCAUAUAAAAAGUGUAGUUUUUAAAAUCCUAUGAAAAAGAAAUAGAAAAUGCAUCCUUCUCUCUGGUAAGCAACACAGUGGCUUUCCUUAGUAUUAUAGUGUAUUGUGUGGGUCUGAGAUUGUGAAUGAUAUGUUGAAUUAAAAGCCAAUUAUCUAAGAUCCUUACUGUACUAUAAAAAUGUAUUACCGCUAUCUCUCUUCUUUCUGAUCCAAAGCACACAGAUUCAGAAUUUUAUGUAUAGUCUUGCUCUAUUUAAUGUGUCUUUUUACUAGAAAUAUUUGCUAAUAUAAAUCAGGUCAGUCUUACCCACUUGAACAGAUAUUUUGCAAGACUAUUUGCACAAAAUAAUAUUAAUUUAAUUAAUAAGAACACAGAAUUGCAUACUAAUUAAGUAGCUAAUACAGGAAACUGGCCAAUCCUCUUUCUCUUAUUCUCAUGCUGUCAUAUUCCUGGUAAUAUAAACUAAUCACCUCUAUUGAAAUAGCCACAGACAAUAAUUAUCAAGUAUUAACUGCCUACUAUAUACCAAAAACAAUAAUCAGUACUUGACAUAUGUUAAUAGUCCUCAAAAUAACUGCAAAGUAGAUUAUCAUCCUAAUGGAUCUGAUGUGGAAAUGGAAAAUCAGUCACAAAGGUUAAUUGAUUUGCCUGAGGCCAUGUGGCCACUAAAUGGAAAAGUAAAGAUGGCAAUUCAGAUCUAUAUAACUUGAAAGGUUUGCCCUUUCUACCAAAUCAUACUGUCUCACAUAAGAGAGGUAAGCAGAGCCACACAGACUAUGAUAGGAAUGAUUCUUUAAGGAGGUUGUGUGAUGUGGCCCUUGAGAUGAGAAUUAUCAACUAGUAAGUACACAAAUUAAAUGAGAGUCAGCAAAGAUUGGAAAUCUUUGUGGCCAGGGAGUCAGAAGCAUGGAGAAAGGGCUGAGUAACAGUUGCAUGUAGAAGUAGCCAUGAUCCUUUAGGUAGGUAAAUACACCAAUAUUAUAGAAUAUAUUUCUUUCAAAUCCUGUAAUAAUAAAGUGGUCAAACAUAGGGUUAUUCCUGGAUUCUAAAGUGGGACAGGCCAAGUGGAAAGGAAGUCAAAGCAAUGCUUUCAAAAUUUCCUAGAACCAUUGUGUAUAGAAUUUUAUAUACUUUAAUUUCUUCUUCUGUGCUAUAUAGUUAUCAUAUUUGGAACUUCAUUCUUCACUACCAUGAUCAUCUGGGCAUGAAAAUGAAUACAUUUAUAGAACAAAUCAGGGCAAACUUCUGAAUGUUAAUGUUGUAUUCUACAAUGUAAGGUGUUAAUAGCAUAUUUUCUGGGUCUGAGUCAUUAUGGCUGGUCUCAUUUGUACCUUAUCUUACAGAUGAAAAGAAGGUUAAACUCAAUAAGGUCAUGGAAAAUGUAGAGUCAUUUACAGGUGAGUGAAAAAUUAUAGGUAGGCCGGGCACAGUGGCUCACGCCUAUAAUUCCAGCACUUUGGGAGGCCGAGGCAGAUGGAUCACUGGAGCUCAGGAGUUCGAGACCAGCCUGGCCAAUGUGGUGAAACCCCGUCUCUACUAAAAAUAUAAAAAAUUAGCUGGGACUGGUGGUGCGUGCCUGUAAUCCCAGCUACUUAGGAGAGUGAGGUGGGAGAAUCGCUGGAACCCGGGGGUCAGAGGUUACAGUGAGCCAAGAUCUCACCACUGCACUCCAGCCAAAAAAAAAAAAAAAAAGUUAUAGGGAAAAUUGUUGUAAAUAGCUAUAUUCUUUUUUUUAUUAUUAUUAUAAUUUAAGUUCUAGGGUACAUGUGGAU